rnacentral:rRNA from 1 species
AUUGAACGCUGGCGGCAUGCCUUACACAUGCAAGUCGAACGGCAGCACGGGAGCAAUCCUGGUGGCGAGUGGCGAACGGGUGAGUAAUAUAUCGGAACGUGCCCAGUCGUGGGGGAUAACGUAGCGAAAGCUACGCUAAUACCGCAUACGAUCUAUGGAUGAAANCGGGGGAUCGCAAGACCUCGCGCGAUUGGAGCGGCCGAUAUCAGAUUAGGUAGUUGGUGAGGUAAAGGCUCACCAAGCCGACGAUCUGUAGCUGGUCUGAGAGGACGACCAGCCACACUGGGACUGAGACACGGCCCAGACUCCUACGGGAGGCAGCAGUGGGGAAUUUUGGACAAUGGGCGCAAGCCUGAUCCAGCAAUGCCGCGUGCAGGAUGAAGGCCUUCGGGUUGUAAACUGCUUUUGUACGGAACGAAAAGGUUUCUAUUAAUACUAGGAGCUCAUGACGGUACCGUAAGAAUAAGCACCGGCUAACUACGUG